GUAGGGAAUUUUCGUCAAUGGGCGCAAGCCUGAACGAGCAAUGCCGCGUGAGUGAAGAAGGUCUUCGGAUUGUAAAGCUCUGUUGCGGGGGAAAAAGGGGAUAUGCAGGAAAUGGCAUAUCAUUGAUGGUACCCCGCCAGAAAGCCACGGCUAACUACGUGCCAGCAGCCGCGGUAAUACGUAGGUGGCAAGCGUUAUCCGGAAUGAUUGGGCGUAAAGGGUGCGCAGGCGGCGCUGAAAGUCUGAAGUGAAAGGUACCGGCUUAACUGGUACAGGCUUUGGAAACUGCAGCGCUUGAGGACAGGAGAGGGCGGCGGAACUCCAUGUGUAGCGGUAAAAUGCGUAGAUAUAUGGAAGAACACCAGUGGCGAAGGCGGCCGCCUGGACUGUAACUGACGCUGAGGCACGAAAGCGUGGGGAGCAAAUAGGA
rnacentral:rRNA from 1 species